GAUGAACGCUGGCGGCGUGCCUAAUACAUGCAAGUCGAGCGAACAGACGAGGAGCUUGCUCCUUUGACGUUAGCGGCGGACGGGUGAGUAACACGUGGGUAACCUACCUAUAAGACUGGGAUAACUUCGGGAAACCGGAGCUAAUACCGGAUAAUAUUUCGAACCGCAUGGUUCGAUAGUGAAAGAUGGCUUUGCUAUCACUUAUAGAUGGACCUGCGCCGUAUUAGCUAGUUGGUAAGGUAACGGCUUACCAAGGCAACGAUACGUAGCCGACCUGAGAGGGGGAUCGGCCACACUGGAACUGAGACACGGUCCAGACUCCUACGGGAGGCAGCAGUAGGGAAUCUUCCGCAAUGGGCGAAAGCAUGACGGAGCAACGCCGCGUGAGUGAUGAAGGUCUUCGGAUCGUAAAACUCUGUUAUUAGGGAAGAACAAACGUGUAAGUAACUGUGCACGUCUUGACGGUACCUAAUCAGAAAGCCACGGCUAACUACGUG
rnacentral:rRNA from 1 species